UUAUAAAAUCCUCCAAUGAAGCUACUGAUGUUGUUCCACAGCAUAACAUGAAGAAGGCAUUUUUGGAUGAACUGAAAGCUGAGAACAUCAAAGCAUUCUUAUAUAAUUUUACACGGAUUCCACAUUUAGCAGGAACAGAACAAAACUUUCAGCUUGCAAAGCAAAUUCAAUUUCAGUGGAAAGAAUUUGGCCUGGAUUCUGCUGACUUAGCCCAUUAUGAUGUCCUGUUGUCCUAUCCAAAUAAGACUCAUCCCAACUACAUAUCAAUAAUUGAUGAAGAUGGACAUGAGAUUUUCAACACAUCAUUAUUUGAACCACCUCCUCCAGGAUAUGGAAAUAUUUCAGAUGUUGUGCCACCUUACAGUGCUUUCUCUCCACAAGGAAUGCCAGAGGGUGAUCUAGUGUAUGUGAACUAUGCACGAACAGAAGACUUCUUUAAACUCGAGCGGGAUAUGAAAAUCAAUUGCUCUGGGAAGAUUGUUAUUGCCAGAUAUGGGAAAAUUUUUAGAGGAAAUAAGGUUAAGAACGCCCAGCUGGCGGGGGCCAAAGGAAUCAUUCUGUACUCAGACCCUGCUGAUUACUUUGCUCUUGGGGUGGCGUCCUAUCCAGACGGUUGGAAUCUUCCUGGAGACGGUGUCCAGCGUGGCAAUGUCUUAAAUCUUAAUGGUGCAGGCGACCCUCUCACACCUGGUUACCCAGCAAAUGAAUAUGCUUAUCGACGUGAAAUCCCAGAGGCUGUGGGCCUUCCAAGUAUUCCUGUUCAUCCGAUUGGAUACUUUGAUGCACAGAAGCUCCUGGAAAAAAUGGGUGGAACAGCACCUCCAGACAGCAGUUGGAAAGGAAGUCUCAAAGUGCCCUACAAUGUUGGACCUGGCUUUUCUGGAAACUUCUCUACACAAAAAGUCAAGAUGCACAUCCAUUCCAACAAUAAAGUGACAAGAAUUUACAAUGUGAUUGGAACUCUCAGAGGAGCAGUGGAACCAGACAGAUAUGUCAUUCUUGGAGGUCACCGUGACUCAUGGGUGUUUGGUGGCAUUGACCCUCAGAGUGGAGCAGCUGUUGUUCACGAAAUUGUGAGGAGUUUUGGAAUUCUGAAAAAAGAAGGCUGGAGGCCUAGAAGAACAAUUUUGUUUGCAAGCUGGGAUGCAGAAGAAUUUGGUCUUCUUGGUUCUACCGAGUGGGCAGAGGAGAAUUCCAGACUCCUUCAGGAGCGUGGUGUGGCCUAUAUUAAUGCAGAUUCUUCUAUAGAAGGAAACUACACUCUGAGAGUCGAUUGUACUCCACUGAUGUACAGCUUGGUAUACAACCUAACAAAGGAGCUCCAAAGUCCUGAUGAAGGCUUUGAAGGCAGAUCUCUCUAUGAGAGCUGGAAUAAAAAAAGCCCUUCACCAGAGCUCAUUGGCAUGCCCAGGAUUAGCAAGUUGGGAUCUGGAAAUGAUUUUGAGGUGUUCUUCCAAAGACUUGGAAUUGCUUCAGGCAGAGCACGGUAUACUAAAAAUUUGGCAAUAAACAAAUUCAGCAGCUAUCCACUGUAUCACAGUGUUUAUGAAACCUAUGAAUUGGUGGAAAAGUUUUAUGAUCCAACUUUUAAGUAUCACCAUGCUGUGGCCCAGGUUCGAGGAGGGAUGGUAUUUGAACUAUCCAAUUCCAUUGUGCUCCCUUUCGACUGUCGAGAUUAUGCCAUAGUUUUAAGAAAGUAUGCUGACAAAAUCUACAACAUUUCAAUGAAACAUCCGCAAGAAAUGAAAACAUACAGUGUGUCCUUUGAUCCACUCUUUUCUGCAGUGAAGAACUUUACAGAAAUUGCUUCUAAGUUCAGCGAGAGACUGCAAGACUUGGAUAAAAACAACCUAAUGUUAUUGAGAAUUAUGAAUGAUCAACUGAUGUUUCUGGAACGAGCAUUUAUUGAUCCUUUAGGGCUACCAGACAGGCCAUUCUAUAGGCAUGUCAUCUUUGCACCAAGCAGCCACAAUAAGUAUGCAGGAGAGUCAUUCCCAGGGAUUUAUGAUGCUCUGUUUGAUAUCGAAAGCAAAGUGGAUCCUUCCAAGGCCUGGGGAGAAGUAAAGAGACAGAUUUCUGUCGCAGCCUUCACGGUGCAGGCUGCAGCCGGGACUCUGAGAGAAGUAGCCUAACGCCCUGCUGUGGAGAACCCAUAUUGAAUUAGUAUCUGUCACUCAGAAAGAAUCCUCAUGGGUGUAUUGACAAACUAAAAAUUAAAGUUGUGUGUAUCUUAGUAUUUGUUUUCUUCUCCCUAUGGAUCAAAACAGAGAGAUAGAUGAUUUUUAUUCUCUAAUUACAAUAGAUUAUCCUGGAGUAGAAGUAUGUGUUGAGAACCACUGUGUUAAAACGAAGAAGAACAGCCUAAUAUGUCAAGACUUAUGUGAAAUUAUCAGGGAAUCAAGUCUAAUUCAGCACUUUCAAACCUACUCCUGGCAUUGCACACAAAGAUAGCAUCAGUUUGGCCCUGGCCAGUAAGCUAAAUGGUUAGAGCUUUGGCCUGAGCAAUGAAGGGUCUUGGGUUUGAU